rnacentral:rRNA from 1 species
UACGAAGGGGGCGAGCGUUGUUCGGAUUUACUGGGCGUAAAGGGCGCGCAGGCGGUUCUGUUUGUCGAGUGUGAAGGCCCCGGGCUCAACCUGGGAACUGCGCUCGAAACGGCGGAACUAGAGUUCGGGAGAGGAGAGUGGAAUUCCCAGUGUAGAGGUGAAAUUCGUAGAUAUCGGGAGGAACACCUGUGGCGAAAGCGGCUCACUGGACCACAACUGACGCUGAUGCGCGAAAGCUAGGGGAGCAAACAGG